ACCUAACCGCUACCGCUCGCAAC
rnacentral:siRNA from 1 species